rnacentral:rRNA from 1 species
AGGAUUCUCCUAGUAACGGCGAGUGAACGGAGAUUAGCCCAUCACCGAAGUCUAUUCACUCUUGUGAACAGGACAAUGUGGUGUUCGGGCAUGCGCCUGGGAUCGUAUGCUUGCUUGAAGUCCAACUCCGAUUGCGGCAUUGGAUAUUGUCCAGAGCGGGUGAAAGGCCCGUACAAGCAAGUUGUUUUGUCUAUACGAUUUCCGGAUGCGUGUGCUUUCGAGUCGGAUUGCUUGAGAAUGCAGUCCAAAGAGGGUGGUAAACUCCAUCCAAGGCUAAAUACUGGCACGAGUCCGAUAGUAGACAAGUACCGUGAGGGAAAGUUGAAAAGUACUCUGAAGAGAGAGUAAAUAGUACGUGAAACCGGUUGCAGAGAAUCAGGUGGAGUCAAGCUUCAUGCUUGGAAGAUUGUCUUUCGAUCCUAUCCUGUGUCAGGACGUGGGGUUUGGCAACUUGGAAUAAGUUGGGCGCACUUGUUGCGUUUCAAGUCAUUCUGGGAAGCCUGAUUGUCCAUCCCCUAUCUCCUCGGUCGGAUGCUGUAUCUUCCUGUGCAUAGGUCACGGCUCAUAGCCUACGUGUGUUGUGAUGGCCUAACAGCGUCUGUGCCGGCUUCGGCCGGUCGGAUGUUGAAUGGAAGGUAAUUCCCUGUUUCGUUAUAUUCGUGGGGAUUUAUCCUGAUUUCGAUCAGCUGGCCAUCAUGAUUACGCAUCAAGGCUAUGGUUUGAAAUGUUUUCAGUGGUACGGUCCAGGUGACUGUUCACUUCUCAAACCGUGACUCUGAGGUAGA